rnacentral:rRNA from 1 species
GGGCCGCGGGAUUAGAGUUUGAUCAUGGCUCAGAUUGAACGCUGGCGGCAGGCCUAACACAUGCAAGUCGAGCGGAAACGACACUAACAAUCCUUCGGGUGCGUUAAUGGGCGUCGAGCGGCGGACGGGUGAGUAAUGCCUAGGAAAUUGCCUUGAUGUGGGGGAUAACCAUUGGAAACGAUGGCUAAUACCGCAUAAUGCCUACGGGCCAAAGAGGGGGACCUUCGGGCCUCUCGCGUCAAGAUAUGCUUAGGUGGGAUUAGCUAGUUGGUGAGGUAAUGGCUCACCAAGGCGACGAUCCCUAGCUGGUCUGAGAGGAUGAUCAGCCACACUGGAACUGAGACACGGUCCAGACUCCUACGGGAGGCAGCAGUGGGGAAUAUUGCACAAUGGGCGAAAGCCUGAUGCAGCCAUGCCGCGUGUAUGAAGAAGGCCUUCGGGUUGUAAAGUACUUUCAGUUGUGAGGAAGGGGGUGUAGUUAAUAGCUGCAUCUCUUGACGUUAGCAACAGAAGAAGCACCGGCUAACUCCGUGCCAGCAGCCGCGGUAAUACGGAGGGUGCGAGCGUUAAUCGGAAUUACUGGGCGUAAAGCGCAUGCAGGUGGUUCAUUAAGUCAGAUGUGAAAGCCCGGGGCUCAACCUCGGAACUGCAUUUGAAACUGGUGAACUAGAGUACUGUAGAGGGGGGUAGAAUUUCA